rnacentral:rRNA from 1 species
UACCAGACUCCUACGGGAGGCAGCAGUGGGGAAUAUUGCACAAUGGGGGGAACCCUGAUGCAGCGACGCCGCGUGAGUGAAGAAGUAAUUCGUUAUGUAAAGCCCUGUCAGCAGGGAAGAAAAUGACGGUACCUGAAGAAGAAGCCCCGGCUAGCUACGUGCCAGCAGCCGCGGUAAUACGUAGGGGGCAAGCGUUAUCCGGAUUUACUGGGUGUAAAGGGGGCGCAGACGGCGAUGCAAGCCAGGAGUGAAAGCCCGGGGCCCAACCCCGGGACUGCUCUUGGAACUGCGUGGCUGGAGUGCAGGAGGGGCAGGCGGAAUUCCUGGUGUAGCGGUGAAAUGCGUAGAUAUCAGGAGGAACACCGGUGGCGAAGGCGGCCUGCUGGACUGCAACUGACGUUGAGGCCCGAAAGCGUGGGGAGCAAACAGGAUUAGAUACCCGCGUAAGA